rnacentral:tRNA from 1 species
GGGGGUAUAGCUCAGUGGUAGAGCACAUGCUUCUUGUGCAUGAGGUCCUGGGUUCAAUCCCCAGUACCUCCU